AAGGAUCAGGCAUUGCCCUGAGCUGUCAUGUAGGUCGCAGACGAGGCUGGGAUCUGAGGUUGCUGGGCUGUGGUGUAGGCAAGUGGCCAUAGCUCCAGAUCAACCCCUAGCCUGGGACCCUCCAUAUGCCGCAGGUGCGGCCCUAAAAAGACAACAACAACAGAAAGAGUGGCUUCAAGUUUCGCAGGAGCUCUGCAGGCCUUCUUGAGCCACCGCCCCCUUGCCCGGCCAGAAACCCGGGUGUUGUUCGUUACUCCUUCUUCUCCCUCAGCCGCCCCCUCCCAGAGUUGACCUUGAAGCCUAAGGAAGUUGCGGGGCUUAGGGAAGAGCUGAGCCCUGUGAUUCCGAGCCUCCUUCCGUCUCAGAGCUUUAGAGAUGGCUCCGAUGACGGCAGUGCCCAGGUAGGUGGCUCCAUCUCCUCUAACCAGCUGUGGAUAUAAGCUUCAUUUUAUGCCAUGACUAAAAUGAUAUAUCUGUUGAGCAAUAUCAUAACCGGGGCCUGAACGGUAGUAAAAUAGCAACCACAACCGCAGCUAAGCCCAGCAGUUGGCGUGCUUGCUUAUUUAUAAAGUGUUCCUAGGCUCCAUCAGCCUCAGCCGAAAAGGAUGCUGACUGACUGUCAGCGUCUCUCUCGGGCAGGUGGGGUAGGGACUGUUUUCUAGUCCCGGAACCCGGCUGCAGGUACAGCAUGCUUUGUUUUGAUGGGGAAGAGGCGCCCGACUUGGAAUUGCUUUAAGUACUAGAAAUCUGCCUGCAGGAGAAAUAAAGGAGAGACUGCCAUCCACACCUCAGUUCUUUCACCUCGAUUUUGCAGGCUCCCCCUUGUACAGCUUAAGAUUUCCCUAGGCACCCCUUUCUAGGAAUCAUCUUGAGACCCACAGCGGGAGGCUUUGCUCUGGUAAGGAGACCACCCUCAAAAGGCGGAUAAUAUACCUUCGAGAAGUGCUUCAGGCAUACGUUUAGAAAGCAAGGAAGGCGUUGGUAAAAGAAGUCAAACGUACCUGAAGAGAGGUUGCACAGAGUAUGCAAACUAGGCCAGUAAUAGUAAAUAAGGAAAACAUACACCUGAAAGAAGAUUCCGAUGCCUUUGACGAAGGAGUCAGUGGAUUUAUUCAGAAGACCAACAGGAAGUAGGACAGCAAAUAUUCAAAAAGAGGUGACUUUUGUGUCUCUCUGACACUCCCUGUAUUGAACAGUGGGCCGCUGUAGGAGACUGGGCAGGGGCUGAACACCGAUCACAAAAAUGAUAAAAUCUUUGCUUGUGAGGGUAAAAUGAUCACUGUGCUUUUGGAGUAAUGAAAUUCAGAGUAUGAGAAGUAAGGCCCUGGUUAAUUUAUUAAUUUUAUCUGAUGUACCUCUUCCCAUUAUUUGAAGAAUCAUUGCUCGGUCCUUGGGGUGGGAAGGUGAAAACGAGGAAAUAGAUAAAAAUUCUAUGGGAAAUCGGGAGAAGAGCCAUUCUGUGAAAGGACAAGUACAUAUAUAUAUACCACACAGCCACAGAGCCAGUAACUUUGUUCCGUAAUAAUGACUUUGAAUUAUUGAAAGAAAGGUACAUUAUUCUUUCUCGCUUAUGUAGCCCGUAUUAACUCCGUAUCUAUGACGCGCCAGGCCUGUUUUAAGGUCCCUACGGCAGAUAAACAAGGUAGGAGUGGGCUCUCACGGGCAAUGACAGACUUGCGUCUGGAAACCCACGUUUCCCGAAACACUUAAACACCAUCUCCUCUGCUGCUUGAACCAAGCAAGGACGAAAACACGUUUUAGACAGGUUUGUUCCUGCUGUGUGCUCUGCAGUGGUGAUUUCAGAACCUCUCUGUGCGGAGGGCUCCUUGCCGUAGUGGUGGCUGUAGAUGGUUCCCUUUCCUGGUUCUGCUGCGCGUGGUUUUUCGUCCUCACCUCUGUCAUCGGAAUACAGCGCUGAUACUUGGCUGCUAUCCCUGUGCACCAUGUCUUUUAAUCUCGUAACGUGCCAAGGUGGGUGACUGCAGGCUGAGAGCAGAUGGCAGGCUUUAAAGAGUGCUUACAAAUGGCAACGUGUAGAAAAGAACUCUGAAAACAUCUCUCGUGAGUAAGCCUGUAAGCUAUAGCACUCAUACGUAUUUUGUCACAUGAUGUGUGGCUGCCCAUGGCCUGUGCUGGCUUAAUUUCUGCUGUUCAGCAGUAUUCCAGGUGAGGCUGCAAUAGCUGAAUUCUAGAUAUUACUUUCCCACUAUUCUUGAAACAAGUUUGAACUACCGUUAAUUACCUUAACUUUGUCUGUUUGGAAAGCAGGUUAGCAUUUUGCAUAAAAACAUUAUUGCAUAUUCGCUAUGCUCUAGGCGCUGUACUAAAUGCCCUGCGGCUAUGAAGCAAUACAGUGAGGCAGGAAUAUUGCCACUUUAUAGAUGAGGAAACUGAGGCUUCGGAGAGGUUAAAAUAAUUGGUCUAGUUAAUGCUUUGUGGUGGAAGCUGGGUCCGUCUCAUUUACAGCCUGAUCUUUUUAACUGCUUUGUCACCUGCCUUCCACUUACUGAGAAAUGCUGAGAAAGCAUGUAGUUCUUGGAGCCUCCGGUUGCCCUGCAGUUAAGGAUUCGGCAUUGUUACUGCUGGGGCUCCGGGUUUGAUCUCUGGCCCAGGAAUCUCUACACCCCACGAGCACAGCCUGAAACAAACAACCAAAAA
ensembl:lncRNA